rnacentral:rRNA from 1 species
CGCUGGCGGCGUGCCUAACACAUGCAAGUCGAACGAUCUUUGAUUUAUAGCAAUAUUAUUAAAGAGGAGUGGCGAACGGGUGAGUAACACGUAGAUAAUCUGCCUUUCAGACGGGGACAACUCAGGGAAACUUGUGCUAAUACCCGAUGAGACCACAAGAAGGGAUUUUUGUGGCCAAAGGCGGGCAGCAAUGCUCGUGCUGAAAGAUGAGUCUGCGUCCUAUCAGCUAGUUGGUGGGGUAAAUGCCUACCAAGGCUAAGACGGGUAGCCGGCCUGAGAGGGUGAACGGCCACACUGGGACUGAGACACGGCCCAGACUCCUACGGGAGGCAGCAGUGAGGAAUUUUCCGCAAUGGGCGCAAGCCUGACGGAGCGACGCCGCGUGAGGGAUGACAGCUUUCGGGUUGUAAACCUCUUUUAUUAAGGAAAAAGAUCUAUAUGCUAAUAUCAUGUAGAUUUGAUGGUACUUAUUGAAUAAGCCCCGGCUAACUACGUGCCAGCAGCGGC